rnacentral:tRNA from 1 species
GGCGUUGUAGCUCAGUUGGCCAGAGCGGGGCUUUCAUACGGCUUGUCUGUCGUGAGUUCGAAUCUCACCUUCGCCACCA